AUCAACAGCUGCAAAGGCAAAGGGAUUGGCCUCCUGGGCUGAAAGGGGCCAAAAGGGAGGGCCCUUUGGAGCAGCGUGGCUCUGGGAGGGGUGGAGGUGAGACCCACACUUCUCCUCUGAUGCCUUGCAACUGAUUUCCUCCAGAUGCAAACAGGGCAGCUGAAUGGGGAGAUGGCCUCCCCCAUCAGAGGCAGUUCCCAGCCAGCUUCCUUGGAUGGCCACACAGGAAUCACUCCACACACCAUCCCUGAGAAGCAGAACCACAGGGAAACCUCUUGUCCCUCUGGAAACUCAGGUACAAUCAGUUCAGCACUUGAAGGAAGGACCUCAAAACACUACAGCCCGAAGAAUAAGAGGGUGAAACUGUGGAGGCCUCAGCAUCUUCUAUCUAGAGUGUGCCCAAGCUAUACCCUGGGGCAUCCACCAGCAUCAAGAGCUUCAGGCCAAUGGGAAGCUGGGGGACCUCUUGGUCCCAUUUCCUUGGUAACAUCAGAAAUCUGAAGAACAACUCUCCAGCAAGGCACGGGCUUCAACUGAAGCCCUCUUCCCAAGCCAUACUAAAACAAGCACCAACCCCAGCCGAGGGUACUCCUCUCUGCCCGCACAUCCCUCUUCCAGCCUGCUCCAUAUGCAGCCCCACACAGUGGGGGUUCCUGUUGGGGUUGUGUGCCUGGGGAAAGUGACCUUACCACCCCAAGCCUCCAUUUCCUCAGAAGUCAAACAAGGAUGGGGAUGCUGACUUCCCGGGAAGCCAGCUCACUUUGCUUUCAACUUCCAAGUCCACUGAAAGUUUCCAGUCUCAGGAUUUUAGGAAGAACAAAGAAGAUACUAGACAUUUCUCACAACAGCAUUUUAGGACAGAUUUUUAUGACAUCAGCUCUUUAAGCAUCUCUCUCCAAGGAACACAAAAUUCUCCAACAUAACCUCACCCAGGCCUUACAACAGUCCCCCAGAAUCCAGCAGAGUACAGCAAUUUUUGGUGUUUAUUGGAUUCUUAUUUUUCCUGCCUCGUUUCCGAAAUGGAUUUACAGGCAAAUAUAAUGACCUCUCCAUUGUACAGUCCCCUAGAAGCAGAAGGACAAGGAGCAACCACCCUUGUUGAAGUCUCUGCCUGAGGCUCCUGGCAGAAGGUUUUCCCUCUUCCAUUCCUGGCACACACAGCCCCUGGCAAGUGUUGGUCUCAUCCUGGCAGCCUGGCAUUUCAGAGAGAAGAUUCUAGGCCCCACUUGUCUGACAGCUCGUGGUUUCUGACCCAGGACUGAUGCGGACCAGGAAGGACAGACCCACAUGGGAGUGGCAGUGCAUGCUGGCCCUUCCUCCUGCAGCUCUGGGGUCUGAACUGACCCUCUCAGCCCCAGCCCAUCACCCUCCCUGGCUUUUAGGGAGCUGAUCUUCUGCAGACAUGCCUGGAGCCUGGUGAGGGCAGGACAACUGUCCACCCAAGGAUGGAAAUGAAUGCUGACAGCUCCUGAUUUAUGCCCUUGUUAUCCUGUAAGGAAGACAGCAAGGCAGUUCAAAAGGCCAGCAGCUUUGGGAAGCCCAACAAGGAGCCCCACAGCACCUGGAGCUGCCCACUGGCUCCCCAGCCAAAGCUAGCUAUCUGCUUCCUGGAAAGGCCAAGAUAUCCUCCUCCCAUCCCCAACCCAAAAGGGAGAAGAGUGAAAAGGAAGCAUGUACCUGAGUGCCCAUGAGGGUCAGGUGCCAGUGGACUCCUCCCCACCCAGUGGCGUCUCUCUCAUCAUCCAUCUUUUGCAGGUGAAGAAUCAGACACUUAAAGAGGUUAAGUCGCAUGCCUGAAGUUACACUGGGGAGACCAGGAGCAAACCUGGAUCUGUCUGACCUCAAAGCCCUGCUUCUAAGCAGCCAGGGAGCAGAGGGAUCCACUGCACGGAUGGGGAGGAGGGGCUCUGCCACUCCCAGCCUGGGAAUGAAGUGGAGCCAAUGGCCAGAGCUUCCCUAGGGCUGGGUCAAACCUUCCUGCUCCAGGCAUGAAGAGAAAGGAAAAGACUGCUCCAGGUGGGGGAAGGCUGGUCCAGCUCCUUGUUAAAGAAGAAACAGGAAAAGACAGCAAGAGGGGGAAGUCACAGGGGAACUGACAUUUUGUCAAAAGAUGCUGGGUUUCUCGCUCUCUCCUGCUUUCCAACUUUCCCUGGAUCCCCACUGCCUAAAGGUCUCCACUUUAAGCUCCACCACCCAGCAUCCAGCACUGUCCAGGAUCCAGCCUUUCCUCCCACUUCAGCCACUCUGCCACCAGACUGCCCCUUGUGCCCAGCACCUGGGCUCCAGCCCAUUUCCAAUCUCACCUUUUCCUGCUGUUACCCAUCUCUAUAUUUUGGCUCUUCAGCUCCAGCCUGUCAAAACUCUGCCUAGCUUUCAAAGCCGAGGCAUCUCACCUCCUUAACAAGCCCCCCCCGCCCCCAGUUUCUCCAAGCAACUUUGCCUCCUGUAUGUUCAGAACGGGGCAGCUCAGCAACUAUUACAGCAUCAUUCAGAGCCUUCCAUUGGUCUUCCAUCCGUCAGAGAUGGCCAUGCAUACUUCUGCCUCUAUCCUGAACUCUAGGUUCCUUGAAGCCAGGGCCAUGUAUUUACACAGAGUCCAGUACCUAACAGGCAUUCCAUCAAUGUGUGUUUAUCUAGUAUACAUUGAAUUAAACUAGAAAAUCAAACCAG
rnacentral:lncRNA from 1 species